rnacentral:rRNA from 1 species
UGGCGGCAGGCCUAACACAUGCAAGUCGAGCGGUAACAUUUCUAGCUUGCUAGAAGAUGACGAGCGGCGGACGGAUGAGUAACGCGUAGAAAUCUACCUAGUAGUGGGGGAUAGCCCAGAGAAAUUUGGAUUAAUACCGCAUACGCCCUACGGGGGAAAGCGGGGGAUCUUCGGACCUCGUGCUAUUAGAUGAGUCUGCGUCGGAUUAGCUUGUUGGUGAGGUAAUGGCUCACCAAGGCGACGAUCCGUAGCUGGUCUGAGAGGAUGACCAGCCACACUGGAACUGAGACACGGUCCAGACUCCUACGGGAGGCAGCAGUGGGGAAUAUUGCACAAUGGGCGCAAGCCUGAUGCAGCCAUGCCGCGUGUGUGAAGAAGGCCUUAGGGUUGUAAAGCACUUUCAGCAGUGAGGAAAGGGGUGUCGUUAAUAGCGCCAUCCUGUGACGUUAACUGCAGAAGAAGGACCGGCUAACUCCGUG